GCUCAGAAACUUAAGGAAUUGACGGGGGCCCGCACAAGCGGUGGAGCAUGUGGUUUAAUUCGAUGAUACGCGAGGAACCUUACCUGGGCUCAAAUGUAUGUUGACGUAUUCUGAAAGGGAUACUUCUUCGGACAAUAUACAAGGUGCUGCAUGGUUGUCGUCAGCUCGUGCCGUGAGGUGUCGGGUUAAGUCCCAUAACGAGCGCAACCCCUAUCAUUAGUUGCCAUCAGGUCAAGCUGGGGACUCUAAUGAAACUGCCUACGCAAGUAGUGAGGAAGGUGGGGAUGACGUCAAAUCAGCACGGCCCUUACGUCCAGGGCUACACACGUGCUACAAUGGCCGGUACAGAGCGCAGCGAGGCCGCGAGGCGGAGCGAAUCGCUUAAAGCCGGUCCCAGUACGGAUUGGAGUCUGCAACCCGACUCCAUGAAGUUGGAAUCGCUAGUAAUCGCGCAUCAGCAUGGCGCGGUGAAUACGUUCCCGGGCCUU
rnacentral:rRNA from 1 species